GAUGAUGGUGCAGUCAGGGAGGGGCUUUAAGGUCUGAGGACCAGGUCUAGGGCUGACCCAGGCCAACUAGGCAUUGUGAUGUAAGGCUGUAAGGACACGCCAUACUUCUCACUGAAUGAGAUGUGAAGCUCCAGGAAUUAGCUGAUGUGAUAUUGUUAUAUAAUGAGAUGGAAAUCUCUUGGAAACUGGCACCCAGGCAUGCUUCCACGAUAAGGCACAGUUUAUCAAUUUGAUGAUUCAUGGUUGUCUCAAAACCAGCAAGAAUCUCUCAUUGUAAAAACUCUGCAUUUGAACCACACAACAGUACUUUGUUUUACUUCUCUUUUCUCUCUGACUUUCAUAGUAAAUUUCUCACUGAAGUCACCCUGCUGUUACUCCUGGAUGCUUUCUGCCUUUGCCUUUUACAGAAGUGAGAAGAACCAUUAUUACAAUUCUCUUCGAAAACUACUGAAUUAAAAGAAAGACCUGUAGCAAACAUGGUAAAAUCCGGAUGCAAUUGGGGGACUGGAUGCAUGGCAUGACUCCAUACACUCCUGUGAUGCGAUGUGGUCAACCUCAGUCAACGCAGAACUUCACAUGAUAAUGACAGUCAUAAUUACAUUAAGAGCACAUUAACGUGAUAAUUACAUAAUGCCUGUCAUCGCCGACUUAAACGUUUUGCAAAAAUCACUUUACAAAACAUUUAGAUGUCAGCACAUUGAGAUGAAAGAGCUCAAUGUCAUCAUGGAUCGUCUCAAGAGUAGAUAAGCUGAAAAAUCCGCCAAAGAACCUUCAUUAAAAUACAUUGUAAUUUCUGUACGGAUCAUGAGACUGGUCAUCUGCAAUACGGAAGCGGUUUCCUUUUCCAUUCAAUCUACAAAAUGGCUUGCCCACCUUUUUUUCAUGGUAAUUUUUAACAAAAGAGCCAUGACAAUAGGGAGAUAGAAGAUACUCCGGGCAAUAAGGUUAGUUUUGUGUGUGAACCAUAUGAACUAUAUGUGAGCUAUGUGAACCAGAAAAAGUGUAACUCUGAUGUGAAUAUGCUAAAUGUACGAUGUAUUCUGGUGAGGGAAGGAUACCCUUUGUCUUUACUUACUCAUUUAAGUACUUAAUGUUUUCAAAAAUUAAAACGUCAACAAAUUA